GACGUAGGGCGCGAGCGUUGUCCGGAUUUAUUGGGCGUAAAGAGCUCGUAGGCGGCUUGUCGCGUCGACUGUGAAAACUCACAACUCAAUUGUGGGCGUGCGGGCGAUACGGGCAGACUGGAGUACUGCAGGGGAGACUGGAAUUCCUGGUGUAGCGGUGGAAUGCGCAGAUAUCAGGAGGAACACCGGUGGCGAAGGCGGGUCUCUGGGCAGUAACUGACGCUGAGACGCGAAAGCGUGGGGAGCAAACAGG
rnacentral:rRNA from 1 species